ACCCGGGGUUUGCAGCAAGGAGGCCGGGGCGGGAGGGACGGCGUUGCAGGGAUGUGUGGCCUCUGUUUUCGCUCCCUCCUCCUCCAGGCUUCCAGCCCACAGCUUCCCGGGAAAGGCCGGGCCGGAUCCAGGAGGCAAGAAAUAAUACAAAUACCAGCAUUUCAGCGCACGGCUUCACUUGUGAAACACUUCAGUCCUGGCACUUAGCAGGGGCUCUCUCGCCAGCAGCCCUUCCAUUUCACAGAUGAGGAAACCGAUGCUCAGAAAGGUGGCGUUUCUUGCUCAGGUAUUUCCAACACGCUUGAGAAAUCCAAUGUCGGGGAGGGGAGAGGAGGGGCCCAUUGGAGAAAAAAAUAGUAAGCAGCUCCAUUAUCUCUGACUCAAAGACAUGUGUGGAGGGCCCUGGACUCAGUUUCCCUUUUCCUAGAAGAUGUUACUAGAGGCCCCUGGAGGUCAGCGUAGACUGAGUUGGAGAGACCCAGGCUUGAUUCCUGCCCCUCCCUCCGCUCUGGACAACCUCGGUUUCCUCACUUAUGAACUGGGCAGCUUCUGAGUGCCUCUGUCUACUAAGGCUGCAAAGAGCAAACAUUGAUGAAGACCCCUUCGCCGGGGGCCUGGCCCUCCACGGUGGUAGCCAGACGUGAAGCAUCACAAAGACUCCACCUCCAGCGCGCGGGACUCUUCCUGUCAUUUCGGUGCUGUUACCGUUAGCUCUGCUCUCCGGGAGAUGCCACCAGCACGUCACCUGCCCAGGGUCACCCAGUGAACAAGAAACAGAAUCAGCACUGGACACGGAGUCAGUCCAUUUGCUUCCGAAUUCUCCACAUGAGGACCAAGAAACUUGGAAGCACAGCUCUGACGAGACGCACAGCCCCGAAAAAGUUGGUAUCGAAGACGUUCUGCAUGGCAGCGAGGCUGAGCCCCUCCAAGGGCCCCACCAGGCCCACUCCAGC